UACGUAGGGGGCAAGCGUUGUCCGGAAUCAUUGGGCGUAAAGCGCGUGUAGGCGGCUCGGUAAGUCUGCUCUGAAAGCCCGGGGCUCAACCCUGGGAGGCGGGUGGAUACUGCUGAGCUCGAGUCCGGAAGAGGCGAGUGGAAUUCCUGGUGUAGCGGUGAAAUGCGCAGAUAUCAGGAAGAACACCCGUGGCGAAGGCGGGUCUCUGGGCCGAAAUUGACGCUGAGGAGCGAAAGCGUGGGGAGCAAACAGG
rnacentral:rRNA from 1 species